AUGAACGCUGGCGGCGUGCCUAAUACAUGCAAGUCGAGCGAACAGACGAGGAGCUUGCUCCUCUGACGUUAGCGGCGGACGGGUGAGUAACACGUGGAUAACCUACCUAUAAGACUGGGAUAACUUCGGGAAACCGGAGCUAAUACCGGAUAAUAUAUUGAACCGCAUGGUUCAAUAGUGAAAGACGGUUUUGCUGUCACUUAUAGAUGGAUCCGCGCCGCAUUAGCUAGUUGGUAAGGUAACGGCUUACCAAGGCAACGAUGCGUAGCCGACCUGAGAGGGUGAUCGGCCACACUGGAACUGAGACACGGUCCAGACUCCUACGGGAGGCAGCAGUAGGGAAUCUUCCGCAAUGGGCGAAAGUUUGACGGAGCAACGCCGCGUGAGUGAUGAAGGUCUUCGGAUCGUAAAACUCUGUUAUUAGGGAAGAACAAAUGUGUAAGUAACUAUGCACGUCUUGACGGUACCUAAUCAGAAAGCCACGGCUAACUACGUG
rnacentral:rRNA from 1 species